UACGUAGGGUCCGAGCGUUGUCCGGAAUUACUGGGCGUAAAGCGCGCGCAGGCGGCCCGCGAGGUGUCACGUGAAAGCCCCGGGCUCAACCCGGGAGGGUCGUGGCAAACCGGCGGGCUUGAGGCCGGUAGAGGUGGGUGGAACUCCUGGUGGAGUGGUGAAAUGCGUAGAGAUCAGGAAGAACACCCGUGGCGAAGGCGAGUCUCUGGACAUUUCCUGACGCUGAGGCACGAAAGCCAGGGGAGCAAACGGG
rnacentral:rRNA from 1 species